GUGGGGAAUCUUGCGCAAUGGGCGAAAGCCUGACGCAGCCAUGCCGCGUGGAUGAUGAAGGUCUUAGGAUUGUAAAAUCCUUUCACCGGUGAAGAUAAUGACUGUAGCCGGAGAAGAAGCCCCGGCUAACUUCGUGCCAGCAGCCGCGGUAAUACGAAGGGGGCUAGCGUUGCUCGGAUUUACUGGGCGGAAAGGGCGCGUAGGCGGACAUUUAAGUCAGGGGUGAAAUCCCGGGGCUCAACCUCGGAACUGCAGUUGAUACUGGGUGUCUUGAGUAUGAGAGAGGUGUGUGGAACUCCGAGUGUAGAGGUGAAAUUCGUAGAUAUUCGGAAGAACACCAGUGGCGAAGGCGACACACUGGCUCAUUACUGACGCUGAGGCGCGAAAGCGUGGGGAGCCAACAGGAUUAGAAACCCUUGUAGUCC
rnacentral:rRNA from 1 species